GAUUAAUGGCCCAGUGGUUAAGAGCAUCUGUUCCUAUUGCAGAGGACCUGGGUUCAAUUCCCAGUAAUCG
rnacentral:tRNA from 1 species